rnacentral:rRNA from 1 species
UACAGAGGAUGCAAGCGUUAUCCGGAAUUAUUGGGCGUAAAGCGUCCGCAGGUGGCGAUACAAGUCAGUUGUCAAAGCGCGAGGCUUAACUUCGUAAAGGCAAUUGAAACUGUAUAGCUAGAGUGUGGUAGGGGUAGCGGGAAUUCCUAGUGUAGCGGUGAAAUGCGUAGAUAUUAGGAAGAACACCAGCGGCGAAAGCGCGCUACUGGGCCAUAACUGACACUGAGGGACGAAAGCUAGGGGAGCGAAAGGG